rnacentral:rRNA from 1 species
CGGACGGGUGAGUAACACGUGGGUAACCUGCCCUUAAGUCUGGGAUACCAUUUGAAACAGAUGCUAAUACCGGAUAAAAGCUACUUUCGCAUGAAAGAAGUUUAAAAGGCGGCGUAAGCUGUCGCUAAAGGAUGGACCUGCGAUGCAUUAGCUAGUUGGUAAGGUAACGGCUUACCAAGGCGUAUGAUGCAUAGCCGAGUUGAGAGACUGAUCGGCCACAUUGGGACUGAGACACGGCCCAAACUCCUACGGGAGGCAGCAGGG